GCUGACAACCCGUGAAAGAAGAAAAUGGUGUGAGGUUUUCAGUCUACUCUCCUGUCUAAGAUAUUCAACAGCGAGGGGAAAUGCAGGUGGUAGAAUUCCAUGAAACUACUGUACAGGUGUCCAUUAGGGAGGUGCUGACAGCAAGGAGCCAGACAGUGCUACACAAGGGAUGUCCCAGGUAGAUAGGCUCAAGCCCAUCCCGGCUGCCAUAGGGUGAGAGGUGGGGUACACCCUGGACAGAUUGCCAGUCUGUUAGCACAGGCUCGCAGCAUCAUCCAGCCAAUCCAGUUCUGAUUUCCUCAAGAAGGCCAAAAAACAA